GUUGCAGUUAAAAAGCUCGUAGUUGGAUUUCUGCGGGGGCGGGGCGGCCGGAUGCUUAUAGCAUCUCGAGCUAGCACUUCCCCUGCAUCCUGCCGCGAACCGUGCUACCAUUAGUUUGGUGGCGCCGGGGAUCGGCUCGUUUACUUUGAGAAAAAUAGAGUGUUCAAAGCAGGCCACACGCCUUGAAUAAGUUAGCAUGGAAUAAUGAUAAAGGACUUCGGUUCUAUUUUGUUGGUGUUCGGGACUGAAGUAAUGAUUGAUAGGGACAGUUGGGGCGG
rnacentral:rRNA from 1 species